CGUGGGGGGGGGGUUCGCCUCCCCCUGCUCCCUGAGCCCGUGGCGUUCCCUUGGAUCACGAUCUCAUGGGGAAUUUGUCUUUUUUUCUGCUGCAUACCUGCCGCCCCCCUGCGGGGCCGGCGCUGGCAUUGUUGCUGCUGGCAGUG
rnacentral:SRP_RNA from 1 species